AUUGAACGCUGGCGGCAGGCCUAACACAUGCAAGUCGAACGAGUGGCGGACGGGUGAGUAAUGUCUGGGAAACUGCCCGAUGGAGGGGGAUAACUACGGGAAACGGUAGCUAAUACCGCAUACCAUCGGAUGUGCCCAGAUGGGAUUAGCUAGUAGGUGGGGUAACGGCUCACCUAGGCGACGAUCCCUAGCUGGUCUGAGAGGAUGGCCAGCCACACUGGAACGUGGACACGGUCCAGACUCCUACGGGAGGCAUCAGUGGGGAAUAUUGGACAAUGGGCGCGAGCCUGAUGCAGCCAUGCCGAGUGUAUGAAGGAGGCCUUCGGGUUGUAAAGUACUUUCAGCGAGGAUGCGUUACUCGCAGAAGAAGCACCGGCUAACUCCGUGCCAGCAGCCGCGGUAAUUC
rnacentral:rRNA from 1 species